GAGAAAUUCAUCCAUAUAUGCCUACCUUUUUUAUAUUGAAAAAAAGAAUUCCCAUAAUAAGAAAUUGAACCAGCCUCAGUCGCUAAUUGAAGACCCCAAGGAAACAAUGCUAAGCAAUCACGUAUCUAAAGAAAGUCAUGAUUGAUACAAAUGGUUUGAGGGAGAAAAGACAUUACUGAAAUUACAAAGGAAUGAGAAUAGCACAAAGAACCCAUACCUUGAGUGGUAUUUGAGGGAGGCACAGACAAGAAGAGAAGGUCAUAUCUGGUGAAAAAUAAAGAUACCCACCAACAAUAAUGGCUUCUUCAUUUAGUUUGCACUAGUAAUUUAGAAGAAAAACUAAAAUACCAAAAACGAUGGAGUGGGCAUUUCCCAAUUCCCACUACAGAGGAAAUGGGUACGGGGAGGCAAAGCUUAGCAAAGAUGAAGCGAAAGAAAGCAAAAGAGAGCCCCAUACUGAGCACUCAAACCGACUACAACACAAACCGCAGCCUAAUAGAUGGCACACCACUGAAAAGACUAGUAACUGAGAGCAGACAGAAUGCCCCAUAUUCAGCACUCAAACCGACUACAACACAAACCGCAGCCUAAUAGAUGGCACACCACUGAAAAGACUAGUAACUGAGAGCAGACAGAAUGCCCCAUAUUC
rnacentral:misc_RNA from 1 species